rnacentral:rRNA from 1 species
AUUUGUGCCUUCGGGAACUGUGAGACAGGUGCUGCAUGGCUGUCGUCAGCUCGUGUUGUGAAAUGUUGGGUUAAGUCCCGCAACGAGCGCAACCCUUAUCCUUUGUUGCCAGCGGUCCGGCCGGGAACUCAAAGGAGACUGCCAGUGAUAAACUGGAGGAAGGUGGGGAUGACGUCAAGUCAUCAUGGCCCUUACGACCAGGGCUACACACGUGCUACAAUGGCGCAUACAAAGAGAAGCGACCUCGCGAGAGCAAGCGGACCUCAUAAAGUGCGUCGUAGUCCGGAUUGGAGUCUGCAACUCGACUCCAUGAAGUCGGAAUCGCUAGUAAUCGUGGAUCAGAAUGCCACGGUGAAUACGUUCCCGGGCCUUGUACACACCGCCCGUCACACCAUGGGAGUGGGUUGCAAAAGAAGUAGGUAGCUUAACCUUCGGGAGGGCGCUUACCACUUUGUGAUUCAUGACUGGGGUGAAGUCGUAACAAGGUAACCGUAGGGGAACCUGC